CCAAUAGCGUAUAUUAAAGUUGUUGCAGUUAAAAAGCUCGUAGUUGAAUUUCGGGGUUCUACCGUUGGUCAGGCUAUUGUUUGUACUGGCGUGUAGAAUUUCUACCUUCUGGGGAACUAUCAUGUUAUUAAUUUAGCGUGGUAGGAAACCAGGACCUUUACCUUGAAAAAAUUAGAGUGUUCAAAGCAGGCUUAUGUCUGAAUACAUUAGCAUGGAAUAAUAAAAUAGGACGGUGGUCCUGUUUUGUUGGUUUCUAGGAUCGAUGUAAUGAUUAAUAGGGAUAGUUGGGGGCAUUAGUAUUCAAUUGUCAGAGGUGAAAUUCUUGGAUUUAUUGAAGACCAACUACUGCGAAAGCAUUUGCCAAGGAUGUUUUCAUUAAUCAAGAACGAAAGUUAGGGGAUCGAAGACGAUCAGAUACCGUCGUAGUCUUAACCAUAAACUAUGCCGACUAGGGAUCGGAUGAUGUUAAUUUUUUAAUGACUCAUUCGGCACCUUACG
rnacentral:rRNA from 1 species